rnacentral:tRNA from 1 species
ACUCAAAUAGUUUAAUAAAAAUAUUAGUUUGUGGAGCUAAAGAUGCAAAUAGUGUUUUGGGUA